UCUCCUGAUCAAGCACAGUUGUUAGCAAUUCUUGUGGAAAUUCUGGGAGCAGUUAAAUGCAUUGAAAUUGGUGUUUAUACGGGGUACUCAUCUUUAGCUAUUGCAUUAGCUCUACCUGAUUCAGGCUAUUUGGUUGCAUGUGAAAGAGAUGCGAACUGUCUUGAAAUUGCUAAGAAGUAUUAUGAGCGUGCAGGUGUUUCCGACAAGGUGA